rnacentral:rRNA from 1 species
UACGGAGGAUCCGAGCGUUAUCCGGAUUUAUUGGGUUUAAAGGGUGCGCAGGCGGGAGAUUAAGUCGGCGGUGAAAUUUUGCAGCUCAACUGUAAAAGUGCCUUCGAAACUGGUUUCCUUGAGUGUAGAUGAAGUAGGCGGAAUUUGUGGUGUAGCGGUGAAAUGCUUAGAUAUCACGAGGAACUCCGAUUGCGCAGGCAGCUUACUAAACUACUACUGACGCUCAGGCACGAAGGCGUGGGGAUCAAACAGGAUUAGAUACCCCUGUA